CGGAAAAAAAUAUAACUGCAAAAAACAAAAACAGCACGGCCAUGCUAUGGUACGUACGCAAAACACGCCCAUGGAUCCAUGUGGCUGUUCUAGGUCAAGCGUCUUCUAGU
rnacentral:sRNA from 14 species